rnacentral:rRNA from 1 species
UACGGAGGGUGCAAGCGUUGUCCGGAAUCACUGGGCGUAAAGGGCGCGUAGGCGGCCCGGUAAGUAGGGGGUGAAAUCCUGGAGCUCAACUCCAGAACUGCCUUUGAUACUGAAGAUCUUGAGUUCGGGAGAGGUGAGUGGAACUGCGAGUGUAGAGGUGAAAUUCGUAGAUAUCGGGAAGAACACCCGUGGCUAAGGCGGCUCUCUAGUACGGUACUGACGCUGAGACGCGAAAGCGUGGGGAGCGAACAGG